ACGGAAGGCAGCAGUGGGGAAUAUUGCACAAUGGGGGAAACCCUGAUGCAGCGACGCCGCGUGAGUGAAGAAGUAUUUCGGUAUGUAAAGCUCUAUCAGCAGGGAAGAAAAUGACGGUACCUGACUAAGAAGCCCCGGCUAACUACGUGCCAGCAGCCGCGGUAAUACGUAGGGGGCGAGCGUUGUCCGGAAUGACUGGGCGUAAAGGGCGUGUAGGCGGCACUGUAAGUCUGGAGUGAAAGUCCUGCUUUCAAGGUGGGAAUUGCUUUGGAGACUGCAGAGCUUGAGUACAGAAGAGGUAAGCGGAAUUCCCGGUGUAGCGGUGAAAUGCGUAGAGAUCGGGAGGAACACCAGUGGCGAAGGCGGCUUACUGGGCUGUAACUGACGCUGAGGCGCGAAAGCGUGGGGAGCAAACAGGAUUAGAUACCCGGUA
rnacentral:rRNA from 1 species